AGGACGAACGCUGGCGGCGUGCCUAAUACAUGCAAGUCGAGCGGUCUCGCGCAAGCGGGACAGCGGCGGACGGGUGAGGAACACGUGAGUAACCGAGCGCGGAGUGGGGGAUAUCGGGCCGAAAGGCGCGGCAAUCCCGCGUAUCGUCUCGGGCGGGAUACCGCCCGAGGGAAAGGGACCGCAAGGUCUCGCUCUGUGGGGGGCUCGCGGCCCAUUAAUGGCGCACCAAGGCGACGAUGGGUAGCCGGCCUGAGAGGGUGAA
rnacentral:rRNA from 1 species